rfam:Synergistetes sp. SGP1 draft genome.
CUUAGGGGGUUCGCACUUGAUUGUCGAUACCUGCGUUUGAUGGACGGGAAGCCCGGUGAAAAUCCGGCGCGGGACCCGCCACUGUGUGCCGGACGAGGUCGCGCAACCACUGGGUUCCGUUUUCCGGGAAGGGCGAUUCGAGGAUGAAGGCGAGUCAGGAGACCGGUCAUUCGCGGGGAGAGGGA